AAAAAUGGUACUACCACUGAACAUGCCCGAUCUUAUCUGAUCUUGGAAGCUAAGCAGGGUCGGGCCUGGUUAGUACUUGGAUGGGAGACCACCUAGGAAGACCAGGUGCUGUAGGUG
rnacentral:rRNA from 1 species